AACGCACAUUGCGCCCCCUGGCAUUCCGGGGGGCACACCUGUUCGAGCGCCGUUUAAGCUCUGAGGCUAUGCCUUGCGAUGGCCUGCCCCGGAUAGGGGUGGCUGAAAUGGAGAUGGAGCCGAGCGGGCCGAGCCUAGUAGCACAGUACGAGGCGAGGCGAGCUCUGGCGGCCGAUGUAAACGAACUUGGCCUCGAAUCAGGUGGGGAUACCCGCUGAACUUAA
rnacentral:misc_RNA from 1 species